GGCCUGUAUUGCGCUGUAAUGUUCUACGUUCUAUGUUAACAGCUACGUUCUGGAGGAUUUUAGGAAGCAAGAAGAGGCUGCUCUAUGACACCGAGGGACAUGCCACUACUAUUCCAGAGACUACCAUUAUUAUCAGACAGUAACUGGAUCAGAGGCCGCAACAAGGAUAUAUGGUUACGAACCAGGGGCUGUUGGCAUUUUUCAGUGUGGGUGCUAAAAGUUCUGCUGGUAGCUUUUCAUGCAAUGGAGAAUGGAAAGACUUAAAGGAGCCAAGGAUAACAAAGUGGAUUUAAUGUAAGGAAGAGAAAUGUCAAAGGGAUAAACUACCAGAAUUAAAAUAGCCAUGUCUCCAAGAGCUGAUGGUUUCCAUCUGAGAACACAAAUGAAGUUAAGAAACAAAGUGAAAAUCAAAAUCAAUUUUGUGGUAUGGAUUCAUAGCCAAGAAAUCCAAAGUAGACUUUAAAUCCCCAAAGAGGGGAGGAAAUGUGAGAAGACCUCAAAGGUGGAGUGGUUAUCUGGGAAAAUGCCACAUGGUUUCAGCUGUUUGGGUCACACAUCAGAUAAGGUAAUGGAUCAACAAUAACACUAUCAAGAAUGAAUCCUUCCAUGCAGGAUAUCUGGAAGAUUCUCUAGUGGUGAAGUGAUCCACAAAUCAGAACCAGAUCAACAGUCCUCAAGCAAGGGAGCUAUCAUUCUUCUGAGUCCUAAGAAGAUGCAUUCUAACAAAAGUGUGAAAACUCCAGUCUUCCUGCAUUCGUGGAGUCAGAGACUGGGAGAAGAUGGAUAGUGAGACCUUGUUGUUGUAUAUCCUCUUCCACAAUUCACCAGAUGUGUCCAAGGCAAAAUAAAGACAAAAACAAAGGAGGAUUGGUGACAAAUACCAUAAUGUGCCGUGAGUAGUCAUCUGAGAAAACACCAAAAGGAGCUUCACCAUUUUUAAGCAUCAUCAACUACUUACAGCAGUCCUAGAGCAGCGUGCAAGAAAGCAAUCCCUGAGCAGUACGAGAGGCGCAAGUCCUGAAGCAGCACAAAGGCACAGUUGUGAGGGGAAAUGAGUCCCAGUGCAGCGCGAGGGGAACCAGUCUUGGAGCAGUGCAAGGGGAAGUGAGUCCUGGAGCAGCACAACCUACUUUGGUGCAGCUGAGUGCUGGUAUGGGGGCAGACUGGAGGCUUGGAGCAGAGCUGGACAGGUAUUGGACUGGGGUCUGGUUCGAGUGGUCAGACCAUGUGCUGAGCUGCUACUAUUUGAAAUUCUUUACCAGACUGUAAUAUCAAUCCUUUAACUAUGUUAUAACUAUUUUAUUUCUAACUUAUUUUUGGACAGUGUAAGUAGCGCUAAUACUUUUCCUUUUAUUCCUCUUUUGUAUCCAAGAUUUGUACCCAGGUGCUUGUACCUAAGAUGGCACCAUU